rnacentral:lncRNA from 1 species
AUGUUGAGUAGCUACACAGAUCUCAUAGCCUCUACAAAUCGUUCACUCGAAGCUCUGAUCGGAUCUUCCUUCGCGGAAGUGCUAGCUCGUGUCGAAGGCUUUGGAUGGCUAAUCCAUGCUCCUUUCUUCAGAUCUUCUAGACUCUUCUAAAUCAGAAGAUGAAGCUUUAUGAGAAGGUGGUGGUGUGGAAGAUUGGACAAGACUCACUCUCGUAUUUUCUUCUCACAAAAUCUGGAGUUAAAACCUUAGAACCCACAGCUCACGCC